rnacentral:SRP_RNA from 1 species
CCUGUAACACCCUCGGGUGCGACAGUGGCGCGUGGAUGUAUGACUCGAGGUCAGGGCGUGGUCAGUUUCGUAACGUGUCGGGCCCGAUCGAUGCCGCCGUUCGCAACGGCGCUUCCAUGAGUGGGGGCGUCGUGGUGAUUGAAGAGGGGCGCAACGCCAAAGGCCGGCAACGGAGCAUGGAAAAGUUCCCGCUGUGGUAGGCGAUCGGAGAACUCGAUAUG